AGAGUUUGAUCAUGGCUCAGAACGAACGCUGGCGGCGUGCCUAACACAUGCAAGUCGUGCGAGAAAGUUCCUUCGGGAGCGAGUACAGCGGCGCACGGGUGAGUAACACGUAGGUAAUCUGCCCUCGAGCCUGGAAUAACCUACCGAAAGGUGGGCUAAUACCGGAUAUGACCACGGGAGUUUCGGCUUCUGCGGUGAAAGGUGGCCUCUACUUGUAAGCUACCACUCAAGGAUGAGCCUGCGUACCAUUAGCUAGUUGGUGGGGUAACGGCUCACCAAGGCUGUGAUGGUUAGCUGGUCUGAGAGGAUGGCCAGCCACACUGGGACUGAAACACGGCCCAGACUCCUACGGGAGGCAGCAGUGGGGGAUAUUGCGCAAUGGGCGAAAGCCUGACGCAGCGACGCCGCGUGGGUGAUGAAGGCCUUCGGGUCGUAAAGCCCUGUCGAGGGGGAAGAAUCGGUUGCGACCUAACACGUCGUGAUCCUGACGGUACCCCUAAAGGAAGCACCGGCUAACUCCGUGCCAGCAGCCGCGGUAAUACGGAGGGUGCGAGCGUUGUUCGGAAUCACUGGGCGUAAAGCGCGUGUAGGCGGCCCAUUAAGUCUGAUGUGAAAGCCCGGGGCUCACCCCCGGAAGUGCAUUGGAAACUGAUGGACUCGAGUCCCGGAGAGGAGAGUGGAAUUCCUGGUGUAGCGGUGAAAUGCGUAGAUAUCAGGAGGAACACCGGUGGCGAAAGCGGCUCUCUGGACGGUGACUGACGCUGAGACGCGAAAGCGUGGGGAGCAAACAGGAUUAGAUACCCUGGUAGUCCACGCCGUAAACGAUGAGCACUAGUGUCGCGGGUAUUGACCCCUGCGGUGCCGACGCUAACGCAUUAAGUGCUCCGCCUGGGGAAUACGGCCGCAAGGUUAAAACUCAAAGGAUUU
rnacentral:rRNA from 1 species